UACGAAGGGGGCUAGCGUUGCUCGGAAUGACUGGGCGUAAAGGGCGCGUAGGCGGAUGGCACAGUCAGAUGUGAAAUUCCCGGGCUUAACCUGGGGGCUGCAUUUGAUACGUGUGAUCUAGAGUGAGGAAGAGGGUCGUGGAAUUCCUAGUGUAGAGGUGAAAAUUCGUAGAUAUUGGGAAGAACACCGGUGGCGAAGGCGGCGACCUGGUCCUUGACUGACGCUGAGGCGCGAAAGCGUGGGGGAGCAAACAGG
rnacentral:rRNA from 1 species